UAUGGUAAUGCCAGCAGCCGCGGUAAUACGGAAGGUCCGGGCGUUAUCCGGAUUUAUUGGGUUUAAAGGGAGCGUAGGCCGGAGAUUAAGCGUGUUGUGAAAUGUAGAUGCUCAACAUCUGCACUGCAGCGCGAACUGGUUUCCUUGAGUACGCACAAAGUGGGCGGAAUUCGUGGUGUAGCGGUGAAAUGCUUAGAUAUCACGAAGAACUCCGAUUGCGAAGGCAGCUCACUGGAGCGCAACUGACGCUGAAGCUCGAAAGUGCGGGUAUCGAACAGG
rnacentral:rRNA from 1 species